GGAGAGAGCAGCCCGCUGAGCAAAGCAAAGGUGGGAGACUGAGCUCAGAGUGAGCACAAAGUGAAACACAGCUGAAAGCAUACAUGAUGCUAAUCCCAUGCAUGGCAGCUCUUGCAAGACUGCAUGAGCAGAUGCCCAGAUAGCGAUGUGGACGAGGGAGAAAAUGGUGGUGGCAGCUGGCCGGCAGACAAAAGGAAUCUUGGAUUGAAGCCAAGGCAACUGGUAAUUCUAACAUGGCCAGUGAUGUACUGCAUCAGCUUCGUUCUUGUGUUCCAAUUAUGCCUGAAGGUAUAUUUUAUUAACAUCAAUGAGUCUUGCACUGGACCCUAUCUGAGUAAAGGCACAAAUCACACAAAAGCAGCAGUGCGAUAAACUAUGGCAGUGAAGAGACUUCAAGGAUAAAAGGUGACAUUUUGUUUGCCCCAAUCUAAACAUACUGAUUCUUUGUUCUUGCUGUGACCUUGUCAGUUGUUAAAUAAAAGGAACAGAGAAUAUAAAAGAAAAUAUCAGUUUUCAGGGUGAAUAAUAACACUAGAGUCAGGAACUGAAGGAUACAACAUUUCCAAGUUGACAGAUAUUUAUUCUCCUCCACCCCAUCCCACCUCCAGGUUUGUAGAGUGCAUUGUAAAAUGUACUGUAUAGAAGUAGGAUUAUCACAACCAUGUUGGCUGAUGUAGAUUUUUGGAAGAUUCAGAUAUUUCUCAGGUGUAUGCUGAAGCUUUGGAGAAGAAAGCAAACAAUAAGUUAGGGAU